rnacentral:rRNA from 1 species
GACGAACGCUGGCGGCGUGCUUAACACAUGCAAGUCGAACGGAAAGGCCCUGCUUGCGGGGGACUCGAGUGGCGAACGGGUGAGUAACACGUGGGUGUUCUGCCCUGCACUUCGGGAUAAGCUUGGGAAACUGGGUCUAUUACCGGAUAGGAGCCAUCUUUAGUGUGGUGGUUGGAAAGUUUUUUCGGUGUAGGAUGAGCUCGCGGCCUAUCAGCUUGUUGGUGGGGUGAUGGCCUACCAAGGCGGCGACGGGUAGCCGGCCUGUGAGGGUGUGUGGCCACAUUUGGGCUGAGAUACGGCCCAGACUCCUACGGGGGGCAGCAGUGGGGAAUAUUGCACAAUGGGCGCAAACCUGAUGCAGCGACGCCGCGUGGGGGAUGAAGGCCUUCGGGUUGUAAACUCCUUUCGCGAGGGACGAAGCGUUGUUGUGACGGUACCUGGAUAAGAAGCACCGGCUAACUACGUG